rnacentral:rRNA from 1 species
UACGUAGGGUGUGAGCGUUGUCCGGAAUUAUUGGGCGUAAAGAGCUUGUAGGCGGUUUGUCGCGUCUGCCGUGAAAAUCCGAGGCUCAACCUCGGACUUGCGGUGGGUACGGGCAGACUAGAGUGUGGUAGGGGAGACUGGAAUUCCUGGUGUAGCGGUGAAAUGCGCAGAUAUCAGGAGGAACACCGAUGGCGAAAGCAGGUCUCUGGGCCACUACUGACGCUGAGAAGCGAAAGCGUGGGGAGCGAACAGG